rnacentral:rRNA from 1 species
GUUGGGUUAAGUCCCGCAACGAGCGCAACCCUCAUCCUUAGUUACCAUCAGGUAAUGCUGGGGACUUUAAGGAAACUGCCAGUGAUAAACUGGAGGAAGGUGGGGAUGAUGUCAAGUCAUCAUGGCCCUUAUGGAGUGGGCUACACACAUGCUACAAUGGUGGCUACAAUGGGCUGCAAAGUCGCGAGGCUAAGCUAAUCCCUUAAAAGCCAUCUCAGUUCGGAUUGUACUCUGCAACUCGAGUGCAUGAAGUUGGAAUCGCUAGUAAUCGUGGAUCAGCACGCCACGGUGAAUACGUUCUCGGGUCUUGUACACACUGCCCGUCA